CCUGGAGUUAGCUCAGUUGGUUAGAGCGUGGUGCUGAUAAUGCCAAGGUUGCGGGUUCAGUCCCCAUACAGGC